GCCGCGGUAUUUUGACUGUGCAAAGGUAGCAUAAUAAUUAGUUCAUUAAUUGUGGACUUGUAUGAAUGGUUAGACGAAAUAUUAACUGUCUCUUAUUUAAUUUUAGAAUUUGAAUUUUAAGUUAAAAUGCUUAAAUUUAAUUAUAGGACGAUAAGACCCUAUAGAUCUUUAUUUUAAAAUAUUUUAUUUGUUUUUGUUUUUGUUUUAUUAAUUUAUUUUAUUUUUUUGUUGGGGUGAUAUAGGAAUAUAAAAAACUUUUUAUAAUUGAAUUCAAUUAUUUUUGUAUAGGUGACCUUUUAUUAUUGUUAAAAGAUAUAGAUACCUUAGGGAUAACAGCGUAAUUUUAAUUGAGAGUUCAUAUUGACAUUAUAGAUUGCGACCUCGAUGUUGGAUUAAGAGUAUAUUUUGGUGUAGGUGCUUUAAUAUUAAGUCUGUUCGACUUUUAAAUUCUUACAUGAUCUGAGUU
rnacentral:rRNA from 1 species